GGGCCAACUAAUUGAAUGACGGAACCAGGACUGGAACCAGCUGUUUCACCAUCACCAUGGCUUCCACCGGCCCAGCUGCCACUCCAUGUGUGGGAAAGAACUCGUGCCAUGGUGACUGUCUGAAAUGACUUGAUUGAAGGGAGAAAGGGGCUCCAAAUUGCUACAAAUAGCGCUCUCCAGACAGAGCAGAGCAGAUAGCAUGCUUCCAUAGCAGAUGCUGAUGGUCAGUGGGGUCCACUAAAGCAGCUACAGAAAUGCAUUGACAAGGUGAAGGGAGCCUGAGUGCCCUCCCUCUUCACGCAUUUCAAGGCAUUAAUCCUAACAGUCACUGUCACUAGAUUGCAGUGUUCCAAAUCCCCACUCAGAGCAUGAUUAAACAUUGGUCUCUUUAGGUGUAAAAUAUUGUGUCUAUUUGACAACAGCAUCCCAUAAAAACAAAUUAGAUGAGCUGGGUAGUAAUUCAGGUGCAAGAUGUAAAAUGAACCAAGCAUCAGGCAGAAAGACAUGAUAAUGGUUUCAAAGUGGAAUUAACUUACGGACAUCUGGGAAGCAGCUCUUUUUUCUUGCCCAAGCACCUUUCACAGGCAAACCGGCUUCCCCCAAGGGCAGGCCCAGAACAUAAGGGUUCAGAAAACUGCCACCAUCGUUAAAAACUACAAAUGUGCAUCAGAAAGGCCUUUCCAUUUUCGUUUAGCAAAGAGAAAUGCAAAGAAUAUAUCAAUUGAUGGUACACUGAAAUUUUUAUUUGCUGACACAUUUUCAUAACUAUUAGGCUCGUGGAAUUAGUCACUAUAAUGCAUUCAGCUAGUUCAAAUGAACUCCUGAAAGGAAUUACAUAUUUGUUCAUAAAGUAAUUUAUAAUGAAUUAUUAACAAGACUCCAGUUCAGUACAUACACGGUUUAUUAGCAAAUUGAGAUUGUCCUUCACUGAGCAGAAUCAGCAUGUCUAUACCUGACAGUCCUACCAUUUUGAAUGAAUGGAUUAACCAUUGCUUCUUAGCUGAGAAAGAAGUGCAAUGAAGCUGUGGCUCACUUUUUCUCAUGUGAUUUCUCUAAGUUUCUAUAAUUGCUGACCUUCUAUUUUAAAAAAAAUGAGGGUAGCCAGAGUAUUUUGCAUUAAAAAUUAUUUCUAUUGAAGAUGGUUUGUUCUUUGCUUCUAAGCACAACUGGAAUUUCAACCUUCCCCUUGGGUUCAAAUACAGCUAAUAUGUUAUACUUUACUCCUGAACUCUGGGCUUGGGUAUCCAACUGUCUACUCAUCAUCUCCACUAGGAUAUAGAAUUGAUGCCUUGAUUUUACUAUGUCUAAAACAAAUCAUCUUACUUCUUUACCAAAACUGCUUCUUUAGCAGUCUUCCCCAAAUUGGUUAAUGGCCUGUUCGUUGCUCAGGCCAAAACCCUCAGAGCUUAUCUUCCAAGGGCAGGCCCAGCACAUAAAGGAUCAGAACACCACCAUCAUGGAAAAAUAAAAAUGUUGAUCAGAAAAGCCUCUUCAACUCCUUUCUUUCCUUCAUAUUCCAUCUCCUUAUAGCCAAUAUUUCAGGAAAUCUUCUUUUAUUAUCUAUAUUUGAAACAUAUUAGGAAUUUGACCACAUCUCGAGCACCCGGGUGCUGCAGUUGGUUAGGCCUCUGACUCUUGGUCUCAGCUCAGAUAGUGAUCUCAGGGUUGUGAGAUUGAGCCCUGCAUCAGGCUCCACACUCAGUGCAGAGUCUGCUUGAGAUUCUCUCUCCUUCUCCCUCUGUCUCUUCCACUCAUGCUCAUUCUCUCUCUAAAAUAAACAAAUUUUGAGGGGCCUGGGUGGCUCAGUCAGUUAAGUGCUGCCUUCAGCUCAAGUCAUGAUCUCCAGAUCCUGGGAUCAAGCCCCAAGUAGGGCUCCCUGCUCAGGGGAGAAUCUGCUUCUUCCUCUCCCUCUGCCCCUUCAUCUGCUUAUUCUCUCUCUCAUAAAUAAAUACAAUCUUAAUAAAUUAAGUAAUGAAUAAAUCUUUUUAUAAAAAGAGAAUUUGACCACAUCUCAAUACCACCUACACUGUGACCCUGUUUUAAUCCACCAUCAUGUGUUGCCUGGAUUAUUUUAGUAGUUUAAAAGCUCCUGGCCCUUAUUCUUCCCUGACUCCCCAUUAGUUUGUUCUCAACACAGCAGCCAAAAUGCUUCUUCAAACUAAGACAGACUACAGAAUUCCUCUGCUCAAAACCCUUUAAUACUUUUUCAUCUCACUCAGCAUAAACCAGACUUGGACUCCCGUUAUCAACCCACCUCAUCUAUCCCCAUCCCCACUCCCUUAGCCUGUUGGACAAAAUCCAUGAAUGAAUGAAUCAUGAGUUCUAUUUCUGGGUUUCAAGGUCAGCAUAGUCCUAUAGCAAAGGCACAGGUCAAAGUUGAAAUUCCAAUUCAGCCACUUAAUAGUUUACUUAGCCAAAUUACUUAAUUUCUUGAUUUCCUCCUCUGUAAAAUGGAGAUAUAUACAUGGACUACAAAGUAAAUUAUAUAAGCUGCCUGCCAUAUGUUUUGUGGUCAAUUCAAGAGAGCUAUUUUAUAAUCAUUUGUCUUUAAUGGAGAUAUUUGUUUAUCAUAGUAUAGUUUUGAAGCUUAUGUGUAGCAAAAACUGUUUUUUAUUUAUUUGAGAGAGAGAGAGAGAUAGCAAAAGAGAGCAUGAGUGGGAGGGGGUAGGGCACAGGGAGAAGAAGAAGCAGGCUCCUCACUGAGUAGGGAGCCCAUUGAGGUGCUCAAUCCCAGGACCCCUGGAUCAUGACCUGAGCCAAAGCCAGACGUUUAUCAAACUAAGCCACUCAGGCACCCCUGCAAAAACUAUUUUAAAAACUAUUUUAAAGUAGUGGUGAGCCUGGGUGGCUCAGUCACUUAAAUGUCGGACUCUUGACUUUGGUCAAGUAAUGAUCUCAGGGUCCUAGGAUUGAGCUCCAACAUAAUGUAGUAAAUUUUAGUCCAAAUGUGCCCAACUGAGGGGUUUUAUGAAUUAUAUUAUCAGUAAGAGGAGAAUUUUAUUUUUUUUAAGAUUUUAUUUAUUUAUUUAUGAGAUGCAGAGAAAGAGAGAGAGGCAGAGACAUAGACAGAGGGAGAAGCAGGCUCCAUGCAGGGAGCCUGAUGUGGGACUCGAUUCCGGGAUUCCAGGAUCACACCCUGAGCCAAAGGCAGACACUCAACCACUGAGCCACCCAGGCAUCCCAGGCGAAUUUUAUUAUACUUGAUACUGAGAUGAACAAUAAUCACAGUCUCUGUACCAUACAAAAAGUUUGGUAAAAGACUUGGCAAAUUUAAAGCUGAGUUGGCAUUACUUUCUUUAAAUAAAUAGAAUAUUUUAAGAAUAAAAAUAUAGAAAUGCUUUCAUUGUUAGAAGACGUUAUAGCUGACUUGAUGUGUUUCUCAUGUUAAAAUGCUUCAUCUAGGGGCACCUGGUGGCUCAGUCUUUUGAGUUUCUGCCUUCAGCUGGUGUCGUGAUCUUGGGGUCCUAAGAUCGAGCCCCACAUCAGACUUCCUGCUCACUGGGGAGCCUGCUUCUCCCUCUGCCUGACACUCUACUUGUGCUCUCUCUCUAUGUCAAAUAUAUAAAUAAAAUCUUUUUUUAAAAAAAUGCUUCAUCUGUAUGCUUUAAAAACUUGGAAAAUAAUUUUCUAAUCUUAAAAACUUUAAAACUUUCUAAAUAAACACUUUCAAUACUUUUUUAACACAUUUCUAUUUUGCGGGAGGCGAGGGGGCAGGGAGUUCAUAUAUAUGCAUAUCUCAUACCAAAACCUUCCAAGUAGUAUCCAGAAGCAACUGAUUGACAUUCAAUGGAAGUGCAUAUUCAGGGAAGGUAGCCAAUUAAAAAAAAAAAAAAA
rnacentral:lncRNA from 1 species